rnacentral:rRNA from 1 species
GACGAACGCUGGCGGCGUGCUUAACACAGGCAAGUCGAACGGAAAGGCCCUGCUUGCAGGGUACUCGAGUGGCGAACGGGUGAGUAACACGUGGGUGAUCUGCCCUGCACUUCGGGAUAAGCCUGGGAAACUGGGUCUAAUACCGGAUAGGAGCCAUUUUUAGUGUGAUGGUUGGAAAGUUUUUUCGGUGUAGGAUGAGCUCGCGGCCUAUCAGCUUGUUGGUGGGGUAAUGGCCUACCAAGGCGGCGACGGGUAGCCGGCCUGAGAGGGUGGACGGCCACAUUGGGACUGAGAUACGGCCCAGACUCCUACGGGAGGCAGCAGUGGGGAAUAUUGCACAAUGGGCGCAAGCCUGAUGCAGCGACGCCGCGUGGGGGAUGACGGCCUUCGGGUUGUAAACUCCUUUCGCUAGGGACGAAGCUUUUUGUGACGGUACCUAGAUAAGAAGCACCGGCUAACUACGUG